CCCACUCCUACUUAGGACGGACCACGUGCUCCACGCGCCUCCAUCUCUGAAAAAGGAGAGUGUGCGCUCAUUACAAGAACACCACCAGCGUUCCCUCGACUCAAUUAGUAAAGACGAUGUUAGUUCCUUGAAUACAAGUAGGCAGACAGGAACAGUCUGGAGAUGAUUAUGUGUGGACAUUUCAGGGAAGGUUUAAGUUACCCUGCAGAUGAGCACCAUAAUUUUUGAAGUAUCACGCCGGUAACCGUGACUGCAGGACGGUGCGGUGCGCUUCUCCUUUUACGCGCAGUGGAUGACAAAUGUUUAGACUCCCGACCGGGCGCCCUCCUCCAUGCUUCUCAAGGUGCGGACAAACGGUCGCGCGCUCCUCAUCCCCCGCCGGAUCAGAGAUCCUGGACCCCCGAUUUAAACUCUCUACGGUUGGGCUGAGAUCAUAAAAAGGCUGCGCAAACCCCAGGAGCUUUUUAAACUGAGACUGUUUUCCCAGAGAGAGCACAGGAAGAAACAGAUAAAGCACCACAGAUAACCAGUCAUUAACGUAACCUACAUAUACGUGGGAAUUUUGUACACGGCAGGAGCAUAGCACGAGCGCAAAUACCUUAUACUUAUAUAUAAUGGACCAGGGAUAAUUUGUCACUCACAAAUUUCAGACUAAACACCUGGGAUGUUCAUUUAGGGCCUAUGUAUGCUAUAGUACAGCUAUAGUAAAGCUGUUCCGCUUCUACAAAAAGUGUAGCUAAAAAAUUAAUUUGCUUAACACAUCAGCUGAAAUUGUGCUUCCGUGUCCUGCACAAUCCUCAUUUUGUACUCACCUGAGUGCCGGUGACGUCACACUGAUUACAGACAUCUGUGCACAAAGGUGGAGCCUGAACUAAUGCGUCAUCAAAAGAUAACAUGUCACAAUUGACAUAUGUCCACUAAAGUGUUAUUUACCAAUUAAUAUAUAAUGUCUUAUUGCACCAACUCUGAUCAUGUACAUUUCAGAAUAUAACUAUUUAUUAUGUAUAGUCAGUAUGAUUGUUGAUGUUAUUUUCUAAUAAAAAAGUAUAAGAUGAUGGUAAUGAUUAUUAUAUUUAUUAUUAUUAUUAAUGUUGUUAUUGUUGACUAAAAUAAUGAAUCAUCCUCCUCCUCCUCCUCCUC